UCAUGGCAAACUUGAUGCCUUUAAGACAAUAUGUAUAUAAAACAAUAUAAUAUUUAUAAAAUAAUUACUAUUUAAAGUACAAAUUUUAGUUACCAAACCUAAGUGCAAUAUUCCCAAAAUGUACAAAAUUUAUUUCGAUUACCAUUUCUUACUACUGAACCCCUUUCAUAAUUCAAUUUUCUAUCAACAUUCGAAUUUCAGUAAAAAGCAGAAGCAAUAAAAAGAGUUAUGUCACCAUAACAAAUAAACAAGAGUAAUACAUUUGGAAAAAAGAAAAUGGAAUUAUAGCUAUUGUUGUCAUACAAAAAGGUAAACAAAACGCAACUCUGAAAAGAGUAACUAAAAUUCGAUUCGGGAUGAAGUCAUAACGAGUUCGAUGCUAACAGUAAUAAUAAUAAAAUAUAUUGGCUUUAUUGUGCUGAAAAUGCAUUUAAGACCAGCAUUUCGAAUUGUUAAUUUGUUUUGAUAAUGCACAAGCCAAGCGCCGCGAUUAAUCAAUUCGAAUUCGAAAGGCAACCAAAAAUACAUACGAGAUUUAUUGAAGAGGAGGAGGAAACUCAUUUUAGGAAAUUUGUUGCAUUUCUCUGGAUUUGGAGUUGGAUUUUGUUUUUGCUACCGUUAGGAUCCGAUUGUGGCGAUGAAGAAGGAGUUUGUGGUUGAUGUUGCUGUUGUUGAUGUUGCUGCUGUUGUCUGUCUUCCCACGCCGAAAGCUUUUGAGAUGUGGGUGCGAGUUGCAAGACAAAGUUCAAAAUAAUUUCAGGUACCGUGUAUUAUGGUAUUACAUUGUGGGUGCUCGACUGGCAAAGAAAGCAGGCAAGCAAAAGGGCAGGCAGUCAGAUAGUCAGACAGUCAGAGAGUCAGACAGUGGAGUGAUUGCACAAGAAGUUGAACAACAAUUGCUUGAAGUUAAGCCAUAACAGUCAAACAAGCGAGAGCAACAGCUGCUGUGGCUGCUCAUGUUGCUGCUGCAGAUGUACAGUAACCGUUAUUUAACAGUUAUUUAACAUGCAAUUAACCUGGCCCAUACUAAAAAAUGCAAAUAUAUGGCCCGGCACAGUUGAGCCGCGUCGAGAUAAACCCUCCAGUAUUCCAGUUCAGCUCAGCUCAGCAUCGGGAGCUGGAGCUAAAAACCUCGCCUCCGAAUGUUAUGGUGCAAUAACUUUCUAACCAAAAAAAAAAAAGACCAGAAAGAAAGAGACUAGUUUGCCUAUUCUUCUAUCUCGCUCUCUCGGCGGGGGUCAUUCAUCUUAAUUAUCACACGGCCCAAAAAGAAAAACCUUCCAAAUUAAACAAAAAUGCUACUUUAA